rnacentral:sRNA from 12 species
UGCCUAAACCGCGCUUAUACGCACGGCAUGGCUAAAAAAGACCCAAGGAUGAUACUGAACCCCGCGUUCAGCGACUCAUCCUUGGGCUAUAUUGGGAAACCGGUAUAGGGUCGCAAGACCU